rnacentral:rRNA from 1 species
AUGUCAAUAUGGUGCUUUGUGUUCCAGGAGAACACUGAAUUAUAUCAGAGAGUGGAAAGAAUAUUUCCCAACGAAGAGUUAGUGCAGACACCAUACUUGGAUGCAGAAGUCCUCUUUUAUCCAAAGAUUGUUUGUGUUUAUUUGCCAUGGAGACAAGCAGAAUGUCGCAACCAGAACCAGUACAACAGAUGCAUUUGGAUGCUAGUGAAAUCUGGAAAAAGGCGAAGAAGCUCAGGAGAUACUGAAGAAGGGAACAUUGUCAAAGGACAAUUUUGCUCUUUCAGCGGUUUUCAGAUGAACAACAAUAGCGAACCGGCCAUGUUCCGAAAGCGUUCGUGUGCUUACCGUCAAAAGUUAUCGGCCAUCAUCCAAGAACCGUCUUCGACAAUAAUGCAUAGGCAGGAGAAUUUACGGAGGUGGAGGACGGUGGGGAUGUCGUGGGAGAGCGACGGGAUACAAGGGUGGGCCCACCUCAAUUCAAGGGUCUAA